rnacentral:lncRNA from 1 species
GAGAAGAGAGGGAAGUCUCAUACCUAACUUUUAUUCACAAGUAAUGAUACUGAUAUUAAAAUUUUAAACCAAUUUUUUAUUUCUUAAGGAGUGUUUAGCAUUCAUUCUUCUUGGGGUUAUAUAGUUAUCAGUAAUUGGUUUGUUUGAUUUUUGCAUACUUUAUAUAAAUCCUCUAAGAUUAGGUUUAUAUAUUGUAAAUUUUGGUUGAUCAACGUCAUGUUUGAUAAUUAAACUGAUUUAAAUAUAUUUUAGUAAACUAGCUUUGCUGUUGAUCUUAAAUAUAUAGUUAAUAUCUCUUCCUUCUCCUUGAAGAAUUCCACCAAACUUUAUAUAUUUACAUAUUUAUAUAAUGUGUAAUACAUGGAAGAAAAAAACAACUUUAAGAGCACAUAUUUUACUUACCAUCUGUUAUCUGGAAGUAUAAUUGAUUGUCAAUGAAUGUCAUUUCAGACCCAUAAAUGUGUUCAUUUCUCAAA